rnacentral:tRNA from 2 species
CCUGUAGCUCAGUUGGAUAGAGCAACUGCCUUCUAAGCAGUAGGCCAGGAGUUCGAAUCUCUUCAGG